rnacentral:rRNA from 1 species
UACGUAGGUGGCAAGCGUUGUCCGGAUUUAUUGGGCGUAAAGAGCUCGUAGGCGGUGUGUCGCGUCGGCCGUGAAAACCUGCAGCUUAACUGUGGGCGUGCGGUCGAUACGGGCAUCACUGGAGUUCGGCAGGGGAGACUGGAAUUCCUGGUGUAGCGGUGAAAUGCGCAGAUAUCAGGAGGAACACCGGUGGCGAAGGCAGGUCUCUGGGCCAUAACUGACGCUGAGAAGCGAAAGCAUGGGGAGCGAACAGG